rnacentral:rRNA from 1 species
CUACGGGUUGCUGCAGUCGCGGAACUUUUACAAUGCACGCAAGUGUGAUAAAGCAAGCCAAAGUGUUCUUCGUUUAGAAGAACUUUUUCUUAACGUAAAAACUUAGGAGAAUAAGGACUGGGAAAGACUGGUGCCAGCCGCCGCGGUAAUACCAGCAGUUCAAGUUGCAUCCCUUUUUAUUGGGUCUAAAACAUCCGUAGCUUGCCACUUAAGUCUCUUGUGAAAUCUCACGUCUCAAGCGUGAUGAAGUGCAGGAGAUACUGGGUGGCUAGAGAUCGGUAGACGUAAGGAGUACGCCGGAGGUAGUGGUAAAAUACGUUAAUCUUCGGUGGACUAACAAUGAGCGAAGGCACCUUACGAGGACGAAUCUGACAGUGAGGGAUGAAGGCCAGGGGCGCAAAACGGAUUAGAUACCCUAGUAGUC